CAGAGGUUGACGCGCAUCGGACACCUUCUGUGUCUCGCUGGCUUGCGGACAGUAGUCGAAUUAAACCAACUUGGAUCCCUGUGGAGCUGCCUCGAAGAGGGAUCCUAAUAUCACAUAUCAGUUAGAUGACCAAGUUCAGGGCCUGCACGACUGCUGCAGCACAGUGCCGGAGCUCGCAUCAGUGGAAUACUGUUGGGGAUACAACGGACCACACCCAUAUACUGAUAGACCCUCUGAUUGGAUGUCACAUGGAUGUCUUGACCACUACCAUGGCUUUCAUGCAAAUUGAUGAAGGAGCAAAUAAGCAGCUGUGAGGAGCCUGGAAGGUCCCCCAACUCUGCCCCUCACCUGUGUCACAUCUGCCUGCCA